rnacentral:misc_RNA from 1 species
AAGUAUUUGUAAGAGUAAAGCAAUUACGAAUGCAAGCUAAAACAGCAAAUAAGAAAUUAAUUUUACCUCUUUUUGUUUUUGAGUUUGAUUUGGUUAGGCUUAGGCAACCAUGAAGAGGAAGAGCUAUAAGACAGAGAUUUAGAAUUUGAUAGAGGAGGUUUGGUUCCCCUUCCUUGUCCUCCUCCUUUGAUUCAGAAGUCAUUUUGUUCAAAU